rnacentral:rRNA from 1 species
CCAAUAGCGUAUAUUAAAGUUGUUGCAGUUAAAAAGCCCGUAGUUGAAUUUCGGGAUUGACACAUCGGUCGUGCCUUAAGGGGUAUGAACUGGUGUAGUCAAUUUCUCACCUUCUGGAGAACCGCGAUGCCCUUAAUUGGGUGUCGCGGGGAACCAGGACCUUUACUUUGAAAAAAUUAGAGUGUUUAAAGCAGGCAUUUUGCUUGAAUACAUUAGCAUGGAAUAAUAAAAUAGGACGGCAUGAUUCUAUUUUGUUGGUUUCUAGGAUCACCGUAAUGAUUAAUAGGGAUAGUUGGGGGCAUUAGUAUUCAAUUGUCAGAGGUGAAAUUCUUGGAUUUAUUGAAGACUAACUACUGCGAAAGCAUUUGCCAAGGAUGUUUUCAUUAAUCAAGAACGAAAGUUAGGGGAUCGAAGACGAUCAGAUACCGUCGUAGUCUUAACCAUAAACUAUGCCGACUAGGAAUCAGACGAUGUUAAUUUUUUAAUGACUCGUUUGGCACCUUACA